CGGGUGAGUAACGCGUGGGGAACCUGCCUUUCAGAGGGGGACAACAGUUGGAAACGACUGCUAAUACCGCAUAACGACAUAGGUGUCGCAUGGCAUUUAUGUCAAAGAUUUAUCGCUGAAAGAUGGCCUCGCGUCUGAUUAGCUAGUUGGUAGGGUAACGGCCUACCAAGGCGACGAUCAGUAGCCGGACUGAGAGGUUGGCCGGCCACAUUGGGACUGAGAUACGGCCCAGACUCCUACGGAAGGCAGCAG
rnacentral:rRNA from 1 species